UGACGCCCACAUCAGGUUGAAACACCGUUUCCCGUACAAUUACCGAAGUUAAGCAACGUCGAGCCUGGUCAGUAUCUAGACGGAUGACCGCUUAGAAAUACCAAGUACUGCAAG